AGGCCUUCCUCCUGGGAUCUCGGCUCUGCCGGGCCCUUCAAUGUCACAAGGUGCUGCUAGUCAAGAUGCCAGCCAAGGCCGUGUUGUAUCCUCGGGCCUGCCAUGUCCUCACUGUUGGAAACUAUUCUCCUGCGCAGGUAGCCUGCGCAUCCACAUCAGGGACAUACACACAGCAUGUGGCCCUGUCUGGUGCCCCAUUUGCAACAAGCCGGCCAAAAAUAGGAACGCAUUGAGGGUGCACAUUCACAGGAAUCACAGGCGUUGUGAUAACCAGUGAUUUUGUAGUCUGUGGACAUGGGGUGGAAUAGUAGUGAUAGCUUGUGAUAGCUGAAUGUAGCAGAGCACUGUAUAAUUGUUGCUUCUAGUCGUGAUAUAUGUGUGCAGUAGUGCUGAGACAGAAGAUUGCAGGCUUUAGACUGUGAAGUUAUGUGUCUGAAACACAGGUCCCUUCAGCAGUGUCUUCUCGUUUUGCAGGCCGGCCUCCACCAUCAAAUGUCAGUGAGCAACUUCAGUCAGUGAUCCCACAAUGUCCGCUGUGUGGCAAAGUGUUCUCAUGUGUAUCCAAUGUGCGUGUACAUAUACGUGAUGUGCACGGUACGGACGGGCCCUAUAUCUGCCACCUAUGCAACAAGCUCUCUAAGAGUGUAAAUGGACUGCGUGUACACAUGCAUCGCAAUCAUAGACACCUCCAGCACCCUCUCCUUCCCCAUCUUCCUGCUCCUUCACAACCUCUACAUUAAGGUUUCCGUCUCUUUCCAGGCAGGGCCAGCUCCUAUAUGGGCUUACUUCAUUGUCCAUACUGUGGCAAAACGUACACGUCCAUUGGAAAUCUACGGGUGCACUUUAAAGACGCACAUCUCAACUAUGGGCCCUUCCCAUGUGCCAUGUGCGAUAAAGUGUCAAGAACCCGGUCGGGCCUGAGGAUGCACAUACAAAGGCACCACCGCAACAAAGUCAACUGACGGCACCUCACUCAGGAUGCAGUAGGAUUGGCCAGUGCCAUGCUUGCAAACCGUGUCCACUAAGUGCUUAUUAAGCUGACAGUGAGAGUUAGAUGUAUGCAUGAAAUGGUGCUUUUAGGAUGGAACACAAAUUGUUUAUUUGCGCUUGAUGAGGAAAUCGCAAGCUCGUAUCCUCAGAUUAUCUCAACUGCUAAAAGAUUUAAUUUUUUAUUUUUGUAUGAUACUCCUUGUGUAUUUUGUGAAAUGGGUCUUGGCACAGUGAUAAGAGUGUGUGAACACCAAGGCCUUGUGAAUUUGGAUGUAGGGUGAAUAUGAUGUACAGUAUAUGGUUGUUGGUGAUGAGUCCAUAAGUGGCUUAAGAGUCUACAAGAAGGGUAAACAAGAGGUCUCUUGAGCUUGGUAUACGGGUGAAAGCUAAAGCCGGCCUCAUUGUCAAUGCCUUGUGCUAGAGCUGGUCCCUCUCUCUUGUAAGGCAGUGAGUGACACUGUGUGAGAAAUGUCAUUAUUUGUAGUUUGAGCUUUUCUGUCUUGUAUGGCUUCUUGUUUGGCUAUAAAUUUUGAAGUAGGGGUUAUUACCGUGAUGAAACCUUCAACAGCUGGGGUCCGACAAGUUUAAUUAAGCUUUUCUAAGAGGUUGGUGGCAAGUGUCAGGGCACAGUAGAGUGAGAGCAUGCUGCCAGUAAGUCACGGGACUGUAGACUUUCGUAGUCCACCUGCCUGCUGCCUGACAUGCCUGCAUCUUACUUUGCAUGCCCUCACAUGACGCUACUCUUGUCAUAGCUGUAGAUAGUAAAGGGUGUUGUUUUGUCAUUACAGGUUUGGGCUUUUUCCCCAUGGUCCGUGAACGCAGGCAGAUCCGGUAUGAAUGCUCAGUUUGUGGUCGUACAUUCAGUAAUGUGUACAAUCUGAAGGUUCACAUGCGGGACCAGCACUCAGGCCUUGGCAGUGCUAAAUGUGAGAUUUGUGGCCUAUCUUUCAAAAAUCUGAGUACGCUUCGAGUUCACAAGAGUAACUACCACCGCAAACCAGCCAGCAAGACAAACCCUUCUACCUCUGCUACCACCGCACAGGCACUGGAUGAUCCGCGCCUGCACGCCUGACCGUGCAGCAGUAACCCCUGUGGUGUCUCAUUACAGGCUCCGUGGGCAGCACAAUCUCCCUGGCCCCCCUCAUCCAUGAUGGUGGCCGGGAUGGCUGUGGUGACAACAGCGACCUUGACUGUGUAGGGUUGUGGCAGCCAGGGAUAGCAGCAGCACCCACCUGUUGGCCCAAGCCACAUGGAUCGAAGUUUGUGUGUGAGCUGUGUGGAAAGGAGUUUACACGCAGGUACUCUGUUAAGGUGCAUCAACGCGACUCCCACUUCACCGGACCAGAUGCUGUGUUUAAGUGCAGAGAAUGUGGCCGCUCUGCUGCCACACAGAAAGCUCUCAAAAUGCAUAUGCACCGUUACCAUCGGAGUAUACAACUGUGACCUGAUAAGACUAGGAGCCAGCCAGCACUUAGUAGCUCUGUGCCAUGAUUUGGCUAGCUGUAGACUAGGUUGUGUAGCUGGGUCAUCCAGAAAUAGUUGAGCGUGGUAGUAACACACACCACUGUCGUUUUUCAGGCUACGAGUGGCUGAGUGGGGAUCUCAGGGAGUCUCGCCCCAGAUAUCCUUGUGAGCUUUGUGGGAAAGGCUUCACUCGUAGAUACAACCUUAAAGUACACCAGCAGGACGUCCACUUUAAUCCCAUACAAAUGGCAUUUUACUGUACGCUGUGUGGCAAGCAAACCACCAGCAAAAAUGGUCUCAGGCAACACCUUCUCAAGUACCACCCAAAACACUGACAGAGAAUGGCCCCUAGGGGUCCACACAUUUCCUGCAGUAUUAACGCCUCAAUUAUCACCUCAUUGGAGAUGCAUUGCAUCCCAGAAUCAUAUCUACCUCUCAUCUCAAACUAAUUCCUCAGCACAUUUCAAAUACAUUAUGAUAAACCAUCCCGACCUCAAUUGUAAAAAAAAAAAAAAAAAAAAUAAAAAAAAAAAUGCCACUGCCGUACAAGACUGAGGGAUCAAAAGAGAAUUAUAUAGAUAUUGCUAUUUUAGUCACUGCUAACAUUAGUGCCUAGGUGCCAAAGACAGCCAGGAAACGCAAACCUCAUGUCAUAUACCUCCACAAUGUAUGUAUGUUGAUCAUAUAUAUAUAGAUAUAUGUAUGUAUAUUAAAUGAAAUAACGUACACAACAUAAUCACAAACCCACAUGUACAGGGUAUUUGUACAGUAGAAAUAUACAAUAAAAUACUCAAUAUAAAUAGGA